rnacentral:rRNA from 1 species
UACGUAGGCAGCGAGCGUUGUUCGGAGUUACUGGGCGUAAAGCGUGCGUAGGCGGUGUCUUAAGUUUGUUGUGAAAUCUCCCGGCUUAACCGAGAGGGUGCGGCGAAUACUGAGAUGCUGGAGUGCCGGAGAGGUAAGCGGAAUUCCUGGUGUAGCGGUGAAAUGCGUAGAUAUCAGGAGGAACACCUGCGGUGUAGACGGCUUACUGGACGGUAACUGACGCUGAGGCACGAAAGCGUGGGUAGCAAACAGG